GACGAACGCUGGCGGCGUGCCUAACACAUGCAAGUCGAACGGGGUAAUGACUUCGGUUAUUACUUAGUGGCGAACGGGUGAGUAACGCGUGAGAAACCUGCCUUUCAGUGGGGGACAACAGUUGGAAACGACUGCUAAUACCGCAUAAUGUUAUUUGGGGGCAUCCCCGGGUAACCAAAGAUUUAUCGCUGAAAGAUGGCCUCGCGUCUGAUUAGCUGGUUGGUGAGGUAACGGCCCACCAAGGCGACGAUCAGUAGCCGGUCUGAGAGGAUGAACGGCCACAUUGGGACUGAGAUACGGCCCAGACUCCUACGGGAGGCAGCAGUGGGGAAUAUUGGGCAAUGGGGGAAACCCUGACCCAGCAACGCCGCGUGAAGGAAGAAGGCCCUCGGGUUGUAAACUUCUUUUAGCAGGGACGAAGAAAUGACGGUACCUGCAGAAAAAGCAACGGCUAACUACGUG
rnacentral:rRNA from 1 species